UACGAAGGGGGCUAGCGUUGCUCGGAAUCACUGGGCGUAAAGAGCGCGCAGGCGGUCGUUCAAGUCGCGUGUGAAAGCCCCCGGCUCAACUGGGGAGGGUCACGCGAUACUGAUCGACUCGAAGGCAGGAGAGGGUAGUGGAAUUCCCGGUGUAGUGGUGAAAUGCGUAGAUAUCGGGAGGAACACCAGUGGCGAAGGCGACUACCUGGCCUGUUCUUGACGCUGAGGCGCGAAAGCUAGGGGAGCAAACGGG
rnacentral:rRNA from 1 species